rnacentral:lncRNA from 1 species
AUUGGUGUGUUCAAAGAUGUUUAAUUCCCUUCCUUCGGAGCAAAACUCAAUCUGGAAGACAACGGUCAUCCAGUAUCUGCCGCAUCUGGGAAAGGAGCAGGCUUUUUAGCAACCGAAAAAGGAAGUACUCUCAAGCAAGGUGGAAGGAAAGUAGAGGGAAGCUGAAACCAAGGAAAACCCCAGAGAGAAAACCAAGAAGAGAGGCAUUCGGGAAUAGGCAAACCCUUAACCACCAGCCUCGGCCUACAUAAUAGACAGAAUUCCUAUUCAAGACAAACAGAGAAGCCCGACCAGCAGCAGAACUAGAGAUAGAGAGAAAACAAUUUACCAAUCAUAUUUAUUGAGAGCUUACUGUGUACAGAGCAUUGUACUACACACUUGGGAUAGUACAAUAUAACAAAAUUAACUGACACAUUACUGCCCACAAAACAUAAACGAAAAGGGGAAAUUUAUCUAGAAUUUUACUAUUUCCCCCCCCCACAAAAGAAAAAAUUACAGUGUCAGUGAUGAUAUUCUAUUUCUUAAUUAUAACGGUCUUUCUAAAAGCCCAGAUGUGUCACAUCAAGAAAAUGAUCACUGAAGCCAUCAGGUAGAAUGCUUCCUGAAAACGCGCCUGUUCAUUAGAACAUCUUCGAAGAACAAAAAUUGAAUAUCAAACUUAAAAAUAAAAAAUACAGAUUACCCCACGUCCGUACCCAGAAUACAGCUCUCGGGAACCAAAUCUGACCAUAAAUCUGGCUCUAUUACAUAAAGCUGCUAAUAUCCUGGAUCAUAAAUUUCCUUUCCGGCGCACGGAAAGGAAGAUUUAAGGGAGACAGAGCUGCGGUUCCCUGCACCGGGUCUUUUAAAGCCAUAAACUGACAGAACACAGACCAGAAAGCCAGAAGGAUCUGGGUUCUAAUCCUUGCUCCGUCCACUCGCCUACUGUGUGUCCUUGGGCAAGUCAGUUAACUUUUCUGUGCCUCAUUCCCUCAUUGGUAAAAUGGGGAUGAUGACCGUGACUCCUACGAGGGACAUGGACUGCAUCCAACCUGACUAGUUUGUAUCUACCCCUGCGCUUACUAGAGUGCCUGAUACAUAGUAAGCACUCAAUAAAUGCCACUGAUUAACAAAUACCAUAAAUCAAUAAAUGCAGUGGUUGGGU